rnacentral:rRNA from 1 species
UAAUACAUGCAAGUCGAACGCACUCUCGUUUAGAUUGAAGGAGCUUGCUCCUGAUUGAUAACAUUUGAGUGAGUGGCGGACGGGUGAGUAACACGUGGGUAACCUGCCCUAAAGUGGGGUAUAACAUUUGGAAACAGAUGCUAAUACCGCAUAAAACCUAACACCGCAUGGUGUAGGGUUGAAAGAUGGUUUCGGCUAUCACUUUAGGAUGGACCCGCGGUGCAUUAGUUAGUUGGUGAGGUAAAGGCUCACCAAGACCGUGAUGCAUAGCCGACCUGAGAGGGUAAUCGGCCACACUGGGACUGAGACACGGCCCAGACUCCUACGGGAGGCAGCAGUAGGGAAUCUUCCACAAUGGACGAAAGUCUGAUGGAGCAACGCCGCGUGAGUGAAGAAGGUUUUCGGAUCGUAAAACUCUGUUGUUGGAGAAGAAUGUAUUUGAUAGUAACUGAUCAGGUAGUGACGGUAUCCAACCAGAAAGCCACGGCUAACUACGUG